rnacentral:pre_miRNA from 1 species
UUAAAGCGCAGGGCCUGACUAUAUGGAAUGGAGGUCUUGCAGUGUAAGACCUCCAGGAGGUCUUGCAGUGUAAGACACUGCAAGACCUCCAUUCCAUAUAGUCAGGCCCUGCGCUUUA